GACGAACGCUGGCGGCGUGCCUAAUACAUGCAAGUCGAGCGGAAUGAUGAAGAAGCUUGCUUCUUCUGAUUUUCGCGGCGGACGGGUGAGUAACACGUGGGCAACCUACCUUGUAGAUUGGGAUAACUCCGGGAAACCGGGGCUAAUACCGAAUAAUCCAUUUUGCUUCAUGGCGAGAUGUUGAAAGACGGUUUCGGCCGUCACUACAAGAUGGGCCCGCGGCGCAUUAGCUAGUUGGUAGGGUAAUGGCCUACCAAGGUGACGAUGCGUAGCCGACCUGAGAGGGUGAUCGGCCACACUGGGACUGAGACACGGCCCAGACUCCUACGGGAGGCAGCAGUAGGGAAUCUUCCACAAUGGACGAAAGUCUGAUGGAGCAACGCCGCGUGAGUGAAGAAGGUUUUCGGAUCGUAAAACUCUGUUGUAAGGGAAGAACACGUACGAGAGUAACUGCUCGUACCUUGACGGUACCUUAUUAGAAAGCCACGGCUAACUACGUG
rnacentral:rRNA from 1 species